ensembl:lncRNA AABR07058017.2
CGAUGGACUCGUGCCUCUGGAACUGUUUGUCCUCACCACCAGCUCGAAUUGCUGCAGACCUAUGACUUCAUGCUUUUGUUGUACCAAGGAACUGUUCGUGAACCCUGAAAGACCAGUCAGGAGCCAAGCCGAUGUAAUCACACCAGGUCUUUAUUCCACCUAACUCCAGGCUUACUUCACUGCUGUCCGCAGGAUGGUUCAGGUGGAGGAAAAACCCUGAACUUUCAUCAAGGCAAGGUUUACAGAAAGUAGCAAGUGAGGGGGAAAAAUAUCCAAGCUCUGGCGCUGUGGAAAUGAGGUUUGAAUUCUCUCCAUCACUUAUUAGUUGGAGGCCGGUCCCAACAUGGAAUAGGUUUGGCUUCUCACCCCACAAAUCAUCGCCAUGGACUUCGUGUCUAGAAACAGCUUUUUGGUGUCUGAAAGUCCAAGAGUUAGAUCCAGACCCUGCCAUAUCUCCAUGUUACCGCAGUGGCAACUUGACUGUCUUCCUAACUCCAAUCGAUGCCGCAAUGCAAUGGUGACUUCAUUACUAGAUGACUCGGAUUCAGGGAUUUGGACCCCAGAGAGCUUGAAAGUCCUAUUUAUGAAUGUGUCUCUGAGGCUGUUUCUGGAGGAUGGCCUUUGAGUCAGCAGACUG